UGUAUAUAUCUAUGGUUGCGACACUCCCAUAGGGUGCCGUUGUACGCUUUCUUUCGGUCUACUUCCGGGUUGUGGAGGCUUGUUUAGUUCCAAGCACGGCUUCGACAGUGAUAGCCAGCGUUCAUUUGCACUGCAGGUCGUUCAGUAUAUGUGGAGUAUCCCGAGAGCCCUCACUGAAGACACGAAGACCCUCAUUGUUUCUCCCAUUGUCAAUAAAACAUACUAUUUCAUUCAUCAAAACAUAAUGAGUUGUUAUUCUUGAAUAUAUAUUUUGUGUAUGUCUUAAAAUGGUUAUAGUGAGUCAACUCCUGCCUCAUCAGAAGUGGUUGGACACUAUCUGCUGAAUGGACUGUUGUUACUCUGCUUUUCAAUAAUUGCCAGACUACGGGUAAGUGAAUCAGAGAAAGAUAGACAUUGCCUGGAAAUACAAUAAUCCAGCUGGGCAAAAAUUAACAUUUUCAAUCAUCUUACAUUUCUGUGUAAAAGUCGAUUUUCCAUGCUAACACGAAUGUGAAACAUUCCCUCCAAAACCCCAAAAGUGUCUUUAAUAUGUCACCUUACGGCUCAAAAUGUAAAACUGACAUUUACAUACAUACUCCAAUGAAUUAAUAAUCAAACAAGUAUUUGGAGGUGUGAUUUUAUUCCUUUUUUACCGUGAAAUCGCCGCUCUCAGUCCCAUAGAAGGAAAUGACAGCGCUGCCUGUUUGGAACUAUUCAGGCUUACAUGAACCACGUGACCGCCCCGCUGCGAGAGCAUGAGUGUCGCAACUCUUACUAUCUCUAGCAGCGAGUUGACACACCGGUGCUGCCAUUUGUGACAGAGUUAGGAAGGAGGGAGACAAAGUUAAGCUAUGACGGCCGUUAGCAUGAACGAGGUGAAUUAUUUGCUUUCUUGUCCAUUUUCCUCAAUGUCUUUGGAGGAAAAGCUGGAAGUUAAGAGACUGGGAUCACAUCGGCCAAACGAUGUUCAAAUAACUCAAUGGGACAAACGGCAAAAUCAUAAGUUUUGCAUUUCUUGGUUUGACAGAAAGGACUGGCUAACGGCAAGUAUAGCUAUGAAUUCACUUUUCUGUUUCUCAUGCUUACUUUUUGGAGGAGAUACCGCAUGGACUCAACAAGGAAUUGUGGAUUUGUGGCUGUGCAAGCUGAUGAGACAACCUGUGUGUGUGUAUAUGUGAGAGAGAGAGAGUGAGAGUGAGAGAUGUAGAGCACUAAAAAAGUAUAGUGUACCUGUAAUAGAUGUAACUGUAUCAUAGGUGGUGUGUCAACCAUUUAAUCUGUAUUAUGCAUUUGUUAGCCCACCCAACAAAUUUCACCACCAGCCGCCACUGUCUAUAUUAAUGGCACUGAGGCUGAACUGUGGUGGAUAAAGUCUCACUGCUGAUCAACACCUGAGUUUAUCACCUGUACAGAGAAGUCAGCAGUGAGACAGCGCCCCCUACAGACAGAUCAUGUAUUUACCUUUGACCUGUGUAAAAGUAACCUGGCAAUAGCCAGAUUAAUAAUUGUGUAGUACUUGAUAGUACUCCACAAUAUCAAUCUGGGACCGCUCCAUGUAAAUCCGUUCGGAGGAAAGAGGCACGGAUUGGACAAUGCAACGGUAUGUCCCUCCUCUGACAGGUUUGUUUUUAGCCAAUCGCGGGAUCUUCACAACGAGCGGAGCCAAUUGGUAGAUUAAACUCUUACCAAAACCCGUAGGUAAAAAAGCACAAACAUGUUUACCAUCCAGAAAUGCGCAAAGCGCCUCUCGCUGUUCUUCCUUCAAAGAAACGACAGGAGAUUCAGCUAAAACUGACUUAAUAGCAGCAUCUACACGAUCGUUGUCCUCCGUUGCCAUGUUUGUUUUGAUCUACUGGCGCUUGGUGUCGUCUUCACACCCGGAUAUCCUGCCCCACACACGAAUACUGCUGCGUGAUUGGCCCGUGCCAACUUGGCUCUGUACGAACCAAUGACGUAUAUAUAGAGCUAGACCGCUCACUGGCCGCUGAGAGGCGGUAAAUAGGAGCUGACUUCCGGUAGUGGCAAGACGGGGAUUUCACAUUGGAACGCCAGCGCGGUAUGUGACUUUGUGUUUCGUGAUUUACCAAGGUACAGUAAACUUCUGUGUUGGAAUCAAGUCACAAUGCUUGAAAUACGUUGAGAACACCAGACCAGGAGGCCCUAGACCAGCACUGGCUGGGUUUUUCACUGACUGCAGCUGAGCAGACUCUCCUCAGGAGAGUUCCCAGUUCGCUGUCAUGCUCAUGGCUCGCCAUUCCCCCUGUGCCUGUGGUCUCACUCUGACCUGUGACGGGUGACAAGGCUAUUUUUGUCAUCAGAAAAUAUGUGUUAAUGAACUAGAAAUCUGUUUGAGAAGGUGAGCAGCACGGCAUGAUCAUAUCUGACACUGACAGUGCAUACGUCGCUGCAUAGCACUUAGCAGUUAACACUUCUGCUAGCUCCUUCAAUGCCACCAGUUUUGUGAUUCCUUCUCUGGAAUGUAAGUGAAAGGAAACAUGCUGACACUCACCUUGCAAUCAUCACAUCAUGAACCUGUUAAUUUAAGUGUCUCUGUUGUUAUGGUUUCAGAUGGACGUGGCUAAUAUCUGACCAUGGUGAAGUCGUGUGCUGCCAUCUCCUGCACCAGUCGAUUUGUAAUAUUUCCUUUCAUAAGUUUCCCAAGCAGUCCAAGGACAGCACACUGAGAGAGCAAUGGAUACAGGCCAUCAGUAGAGAAGCGGUGGGGACCAAGAGGAGAUGAUCAUAAUUAUGUCUGCAGCAACCAUUUCAGGGAGGAGGACUUCAUCCUCUCAAAACAUGCUCAACACAAGCUUCUCAGGCCAGGGGCUGUACCAUCCCUCAAUCUGGGGAAACCAGAGAAAAAGAUGGCAGUGAGGACAACCCAAAGCAGCCCGGCAGCAGUGGCAUUAUACCAGCACAUGGACAUGGAGCCUGAACAAGAGCCUGAAGAGGGCAGUGCUGCUGUUAGUGAACACCAUGCAUACCGUACAGACAUUGACACCCUGAAGAGGAAAUAUGACGAUCUAAGUGUACAGCAUGAAAAGCUGAGGCAGGACUUCAACAAUGCCAAACGUAGAGAGAAGCGCUGCAGAGUGACGUUGGAGGCCAUGUUAGCUAAAACCAAGGAAAUACAAGCCCUGUCUGAUGAUGCUCAUUCCAUGCUUGAUGCAUAUAAAGGUAUUCCUUGUUUAGAAGUACAUAUGAGUGACAUCCAGCAUAUGUAAAUAUAAUUAUGUAACUGCACAUUGCUCACCCACACAGUGCACUAGAACUGAGAUCAAUGUUUGUUAAUGCUUCAUGAGAUGAUGACUGGUUCACAGAUAACUGUACUUUUGCCUUCCACAACAUUAUCUAAACAGUUUUGCGGCUGUGAUACCCAACAUUCAUAUGGAAACUAUCUAAGCUAUUAACUAUGUUUGAUCACACUUAAUUUUCAAUUACAGGUAAAUUGAUGUUGAUAGACCCUGUUUCUUUACCAGAAUAAUGUAAUUUGUUUGUAACUCCACAACACCUGAAAUUGGGACAUAUAUACAACACGCAUUUAGGUUGAAUAUUUAUGAAAAUUGCAAAUUAAACUCAAAGGGUUGACUGAACUUUGAUGGUUCAUCAUGAAGCAUGAUGUGCUGUAUAAAUGCCGUCUACAUACUGCAAUCUGCCUGAAAGUUUGUGAUUGAUCACAGUCCUGCAGUGAUGACAUCCAUAUGCCAAUGUGCACUCAGUCAUAGCAUCACCUGCUGUAGAGGAAAUUACAAGUUUUACACUUUAAUGUUGUACGAUACUUUUAAUAAAUUUAUCUGCACUUUUUUUCAUUUACUUUAAAUUAACUUCUUUUCUGUUGGUUGUUGCAAUUAGUGUCUGACAUGCUUUUAUUUUUUUCUAUUUCUUGUCUUCUUUUGGCUGUUUUACUCAAUCAGUUUUAAUUAUUCUAGAAAUGAGUGUCCAUUGUAUUCAAUGAACCUUUUCUGAUUAAAGUGACUUCAUUUUUUAUUACACUACUUACUUUAUUUUUUACAUUUUACUCUGAAAAACCUCUGUGUAUGUUAAGGUACUACAUAAAUAAUGUUGCUUGA